GCCCGUGUAGCAAAGUGGUAUUGCGUUUCCCUCCUACUCGUCAUGUGGCGCAGGGUCAGGAAGAGAUCGUGGGUUCGAUCCCCACCAUGGGCU